rnacentral:rRNA from 1 species
GGAAUCGCUAGUAAUCGCGAAUCAGCAUGUCGCGGUGAAUACGUUCCCGGGUCUUGUACACACCGCCCGUCACACCAUGGGAGUCGGAAAUGCCCGAAGUCAGCGACCGAACCGAAAGGGAGGAGCUGCCGAAGGCGGGUCGAAUAACUGGGGUGAAGUCGUAACAAGGUACC